GGCAGCAAACGAGCUGGGCCAGUCCUGCUUUCUCCUUCUUUCACCUUUUAAAUCCAGUGCUCGCCUGCUUGCUUUGCAAAGGAAGCUGUUAGGUGUCUCCUGGACCCAUAACAGAACCUGCUUUCUCUUCAUGAGCAGAAUUUAAGAUGCAGUAUUCACACGGGCUACAGCCAUCAGCUGAGGACGCUAAGACAUUUCUACCGCUCUGAUCAGGUUACCAUCUAAAUUCACCCAGCUCAUGCUGUCUCAGGAGGCCUCUGAACCCACUGCUGCACACGACUGUUCUAAUGGCCUUCAAACAGAUGAAAAAACUGAGGCAGAGAGAAAUGUAUUCAUUGAACACACAUACUUCAAAGGAGCUAAAUGCAAAGAACUACGCCAGGCAAUUUACAAAGAUGAAUAAGAUGGAAUCUGAUCUCCAGGAGCUUAUGAUAUAUUGCAGGUUCAGGACUCCUUCCAUUGAAUUUCAGUGGUUCCCAGAAAGAUGUGUGGACUCUUCUUCAUCAUAACAACCACAGUGAUAAUGAAAAUAAGUACCUGAGUCUGAAUCACAAGGUUGCUAUUAGAGGUGCUGAUUUUCGGUAAGUUGAUUCAUUUCACACUCAGUUACUUCAUCUAUAAAGUAAGAUAGUAAUAGCCUCAUUCCUGGACCUGACCCUCUACUUUGUACCCUAAGACUGAUAUUUCUUCAUGAAUUCUGUUGGAGGUCCUAUAACACCGCAAUACCAACAGGCAGAAUCAGAAGCUAACUGUUGGUCUCUUACACACUUGGUUUAAGUCACUCUGAUCCUGUUUUAUUUCCAUUUUUCUCUCUCUGCAAAUUCAUGAGUUUCUUGAAAGCAGGGUCCAGUUCUUCCACACCCAUAUUCCUCAAGUGCUUUAGCCUAGACGUGAUGUGCAUGCUGAAUUCGUUACAAGUAGCCAGA
rnacentral:lncRNA from 1 species